AUAUUGCACAAUGGGCGCAAGCCUGAUGCAGCGACGCCGCGUGCGGGAUGAAGGGGCUACGCCUCGUAAACCACUGUAGCCCGGGACGAAAAACGCCUUAGAGGCGUUAGACGGUACCGGGAAAGUAAGGGUCGGCUAACUACGUGCCAGCAGCCGCGAUAAUACGUAGGACCCAAGCGUUGUCCGGAUUUACUGGGUGUAAAGGGUGCGCAGGCGGAUGGGUAAGUCAGGGGUGAAAGUCUGCAGCUUAACUGUAGAAUUGCCUUUGAUACUGCUCAUCUUGAGUAUGGGACAGGUUGAUGGAAUUCCAGGUGUAGCAGUGAAAUGCGUAGAUAUCUGGCAGAACUCCAGUGGCGAAGGCGGUCAACUGGCCCAUAACUGACGCUCAUGCACGAAAGCGUGGGGAGCAAACA
rnacentral:rRNA from 1 species